UACGUAGGGUGCAAGCGUUGUCCGGAAUUAUUGGGCGUAAAGGGCUCGUAGGCGGUCCAUCACGUCGGGAGUGAAAAGCUGGGGCUUAACCCCAGUCCUGCUUCCGAUACGGGUGGACUAGAGGUAGGCAGGGGAGAACGGAAUUCCUGGUGUAGCGGUGAAAUGCGCAGAUAUCAGGAGGAACACCGGUGGCGAAAGCGGCUUCCUGGUCCAGCACCGACGUUCAGGCACGAAAGCGUGGGGAGCAAACAGG
rnacentral:rRNA from 1 species